UCAUAUUACAGGGGUUGGACACACGCCUGUGGUUUACGCAGGCCCAACCAGUCCUUGGUGUGCUUUGCCGGCAGAACUUCCCGUGGUGGGUCACGUUGCCCGGUGAGGGUCAGGUUCCAUAUCUAGCACAUAGCUGGGAGCUGUACUUAGCUGCCUCGGCCCCGCCGGAGGUGAGGGUCGAUGGUGUCUUGUGCGAGACGGUGGCCGACAUUGUGAUCCGGACACUUUUGACCUUCUACAGGGGGCUUCAGGAACACAAGGAGGACACGGCUAUGGUUGUCGAAGCCGAGUGCAAGCGCCUACUUCAAAACUUACGGCACGAGGCUCGGGUGCAGGCUGUUUGAGACUACUAUGCCUCGACUAACAUUAAGAUGUCCAAGGCGCAGCCCCGAAAUUUUUCUUGACUAACUUAGGUGCCCCCGAGAUGGUGUGCGGAUAGGAUGGACUGUUGGGAGGCGUUGGUGGAUGAGUGGUGCUCUCCCCAAUGACUAACCGAGCACAACAAGGCCAAGGAUAAGCGUGCCCAAUUGCAAGGUGUGCCACACCAUCAAGGGAGCUCCAACCUGUUUGAGUACGAGGAUAACUAGGCACGACACAACAAGAAGGAGGUGCCACCGCUGUUCGACGUUGUAACGCCCCGAAUCCGAUGCACCAGGCGCCUGCCAGUUAUUCGCCGUCGUUGCCAUGUCUUUUGAUUGCGUGUUGCACUUGUCCAUGUCAUCAUCUGCAUUUCAUCUACAUGUUUUUCAAAACUUGCGUCCGUUCGGGUUCCCCCGGUUCUCUCCGUUGUCCGUUCUGAGCCCAACCACACUAGCACGCGCUCGUCGCACCUCUCAGACCUUGUUUCGUGAGCGGGAGAAAAACAUUCUCGGAAUGGGCCGA